rnacentral:rRNA from 1 species
CUUGAAGGCGAGAAAAGCUUUGCGUAUAGAAACAGAUGCCCGUACCGCAAACCGACACAGGUGGACAGGAGGAGAAUUCUAAGGCCAGCGGGAGAAGGGUAGUUAAGGAACUCGGCAAAUUGACUCCGUAACUUCGGAAUAAGGAGUGCUCGAAAGAGCCGCAGGGAAUAGGCCCAGGCGACUGUUUAGCAAAAACACAGGUCUCUGCCAAAUCGAAAGAUGAAGUAUAGGGGCUGACACCUGCCCGGUGCCGGAAGGUUAAGAGGAGGAGUGAGAGCUCCGAAUUGAAGCCCCGGUAAACGGCGGCCGUAACAAUAACGGUCCUAAGGUAGCGAAAUUCCUUGUCGGGUAAGUUCCGACCCGCACGAAUGGUGUAACGAUCUGGGCACUGUCUCAACUACCCACCCGGCGAAAUUGUAGUACCGGUGAAGAUGCCGGUUACCUGCGGCAAGACGGAAAGACCCCAUGGAGCUUUACUGUAGCCUGAUAUUGGGUUUCGGAACUCUAUGUACAGGAUAGGCGGGAGACUUGGAAACAUGAGCGUCAGCUUGUGUGGAGUCGAUGUUGGGAUACCGCCCUUAGGUUUCUGGAAUUCUAACCUGCGGCCGUGAAACCGGUCGGGGGACAUUGUCAGGUGGGCAGUUUGACUGGGGCGGUCGCCUCCGAAAAGGUAACGGAGGCGCUCAAAGGUUAGCUCAGCACGGACGGAAACCGUGCCUCUGAGUGUAAACGCAAAAGCUAGCCUAACUGCGAGGGUGACGGCCCGAGCAGUAACGAAAGUUGGGGUUAGUGAUCCGGCGGUAUGUGAAUGGAAAUGCCGUCGCUCAACGGAUAAAAGCUACCCUGGGGAUAACAGGCUGAUCUCCCCCAAGAGUCCACAUCGACGGGGAGGUUUGGCACCUCGAUGUCGGCUCAUCACAUCCUGGGGCUGUAUUCGGUCCCAAGGGUUCGGCUGUUCGCCGAUUAAAGUGGUACGCGAGCUGGGUUCAGAACGUCGCGAGACAGUUCGGUCCCUAUCUGUCGUGGGCGCAGGAUAUUUGAGGAGCUCUGUCCUUAGUACGAGAGGACCGGGAUGGACGUACCUCUGGUGCACCAGUUGUCAUGCCAAUGGCACGGCUGGGCAGCUAUGUACGGAACGGAUAAACGCUGAAAGCAUCUAAGCGUGAAGCCGACUCCAAGAUUAGAUAUCCCAUCGUAUAACGAGUAAGACCCCUUGAAGACUACGAGGUUGAUAGGCUGCGUGUGUAAGUGCCGUGAGGCAUUCAGCUUGGCAGUACUAAUAGGUCGAGGGCUUGACC